CUCACACUGUAGUUAAGGCUGGUCCUGGCAGCAGAUGCCACUGAAACCUAAAACAUACACCAUCUCUGCUCUUUGAAGCCUGCAAACCUUCUGACAAAGAAGCAGCCUUGAAAAGACAAAAUGGAUCCAGCAGGGAAUUAGACAGAAAAUAUUUACAGACUCGGUGAACCAAGAGCUGGGUGUUCCGGGCUGUUGAAGAAAAUGGAGUAAUGGGAUAGAAGCUGCUUUCAACUUCCUGCUGGUAAAGAACAAGCCUGUGUCAACAAGAGACUGAAUAAGAAACCCUCAAGGAGGAGACGUGGGAGUUGCCUUCAUUCAUUGGAUAGAGUGCCGCAGGACAGGAUGCUCUGAGAGGCCAGCACCACACCCUCUUGACCAUGCUGUAGCCAUAAAUGUUCCAGAGGCAUCUGAGAAAACCACUGCAGAAUACACAGAGCACAGCUGCAUUUUGUCUGCUCCACCUACAACAGGGUUUGCUCUACCCUGCCAUAUCAGAGGCUCCUGAAAAGACCAACUCACAGCACCACAGGAUGUGAUUAAGCCUUGGAGAAGAUUAAUUACCCACUUUCUUAGGAGUCGGUCUCUCCUCCCCACUCACUCAAGUUCCUUUACCCCCCACUAAGCCUCUGAAAGAAUCUAACAUCAUAAACAAGGAUCUCAUUAGCAACUUGAAUUCGGGCUGCAGAUCUUUUGUGAAGAUUUGGUUACAGAUGCUGCUUUAACUUCUGAGGAUUAUUCUUCAGCAUCCAGAGAGACUCCAGUUGCUCCCCUGGGAAAUGUUCCCUCACUUGAAUAACUCAUCUGUUCACCCAUUGGCAUAACUGCUGCCAGUUCUAAGCACCUGCUGAGGAGUGGACCCAGAUUAGGCCUCUGGCAGGGCUACAAAGAAGGCAUUUCAGUGUUGGACUUCCCAUUCCAUUUGCAUCUUCAGGGGAAGUUAAUGUCCCACUCAAGUUUCUCUCAGUUAGGGUGACAGGGAGAUGCAGUUCUUCAAAUGCUGUCCUCAAGUAGAGAGGGAGACCACAGAGCUCCGACUGGCUUGCCAGCCCAUGGAGCCAUUUUUUCUUUGGUGGUGGAUGCUCUCGGUGUGGCCUCUAGAGCUCCUUUCAUGAUCCUUUUCUCUCUGCAUUCCCACUGCUCUCCCCUCGGGUGGGUCCACAUCACCUCUCGCCUGGACCUCAGUCUGUCUCUUCUCUGCUAACCAGGGUGUCUUCACUUCUCUGCAGCUUUCACACGGCAGCCAGAUUAAUGUUCCUCAGUGCAGCUUUGAUCACACCACUGUGCCCAAACAAAAUCUUUCAUGGCCCCCAGCUACCCAGUGAUCAAAGUCCAGGGUCCUCACUCCAGCAUUAAAGAGCCUCUGUAUUGUGGAUCCCAAAUCAUCACAUGCCCCACCUCCAUCACCCAUCUGUUCCACUCCCACCUACCUCAACCUCAGUUCUAGUCCUUCAAGCUGCAGGCAGCAGCUCAUUGAGAAGGUCAUGAAAUCAAUGAAGUAUGUGACGAAAGCAUUUUAAAAUGAAAUUUAUAGCAAAAGAACAAAUAUGUAUAUGGCUUUCUAUAUAGCAGGCUCCAUUCCAAAUACUUUGCAUAGACUCACAUACUUCUCACACUGUCCCUAGGGAAAUAAGCACUCUUGCUAUCCCUGUUUUACAGAUAAGGACACAGACCCAGGGAGGUUAAAUAAGUUGUCCAAAGUGAUUAAUUCUGGCUUGAACCCAGAGAGCCUUGUAUCAGAAGCCACACUCUGCUAUACUCCCCAUGAUGUACUAUAUGGAAUAAAACUAUAUUCUAGAUUUUGUAAAACCAUAUGGAACAGAAUAGAAAAUUUAGGGCAUUCUGUAUAUACAAUGGUAAAUGUUCCAUGAAGGUCUGUUGGAGAUAAAUAUAAAUGUAUACACACAAGACUACAGUAGAAAAUGUGUAUUGUGCUGAGUACACAAGGUCAAGUGUUUGUCUUACUGUGGCUUGUGGGCAAAAACAUGUGAAACCUGUUGUUCUGGCUAAAACCAAGGAACUGCCAAUGAUCUCUCAUGCUUCUUUGCCUCUACAUCUUCACCCACACUGAUCCCAGCACUGGAAACAUCUUUCCCCGUCGUUUCUCACCUGUAUCUCUGGUCCAAACAUGUCUUGUCCAUGGAGUCUUUCUUAAUUCUUCUCUUUAUUCUGUCUUCUAAAUUAUAAGCUUCUUGAGGGCUUAGGUACAUACAUUUCACAAUCAGUUCUUGCUUCCUGACAAAGAAGGAAGCAUCUUCCAGGAGGCUUUUACUCCCAACCUACUUUCAACCCCCAUUGGUGUGAUGAGAUUUCUGAUAUUCGUCUUCUUUCUGUGAUAGUUUGGGACAAUGGUUCUCAAAGUGUGGUCCCCAGACCAGCAACAUCAGCAUCGCCUGGGACUUGUUAGAGAUGCGUAUUCUCAGGCCCCAUCCCAGACCUACUGAAUCGGAUUAUCUGAGGGUGAACAACAGCAGCGUGUGCUACAACCAGCCUUCCAAGUGAUUCUGAUGCUUGUGCAAGUUCGAGAACCACUGGCUUAAGAAAAAGCCAUUCUUAUUCAAUAUGAGAGAAGGGUUUGUUUCAUGACUCUGGGCCAGUUGGCUGCAUUGUAUUGCUUAUGAGGACAAGGUCAGGGGAUCAACUUUGUGUAUCCAAGUCAGCAACAUGUCACACCACACAUUGAAUCCCCCAACCCUAGCUUUUGUGCAAUUGCAAGCUAUUUAGUCCCAAAAGAACUAUGGAUGUCUCAGUGCCAAAGCUAACUCACCUAAAUUACUACUGUCAUCGCAUUAAUGGAGCCAGACUCACAGCCACGAGCCAUCAAGCACCCUGCAGGGGACAGUAAAAGCAGAACCAGGAAUGGACAAAGACAUUGUUAGAAGUCAAGAGAACAUGGACUUUCUAAAUACCAAAGCAUUUUAGAAGGUAUGGCUAAAACAGAUUGCAAAUGAUGAAAGGCAGUAAAAAUCCAAGUGGGUUUAGGAUGGGAAAUUUCAAAUUUCAUAGGAAAUCCAAGGUCACAGAAAUAAUAAACCAGAAUGACCUAGGAGCUAGCACUUGAUAGAUUCAGGAGCAUUUCCAUGGACAGACAUUUUAUAUUUGAAGAAACUCGAAUCUAUAUUCCAAGAAGUUAAGAAACAAGAUCAUGCAAUGAGGAAAUAGCAGAAUAGAAUGCAAACCAACUUUUUUUACCCAGGAGUCUCAACUAAAGGUCUGCCUGCCCUGCCGAGGGCACUCCCCUCUCUGCGGUUUCUCUUCUACACUCCUGCCACACUGGCCCCAGUGCUGCCAUGUCCACUCCCAGGGCUCUGCACUUACUCUUCCUUCUCUUUUAAGUAUUUUUUCGCUAGCUGUUCCCAGAGCUGCACCCUCCUCAUCCUUUAGGCCUCAACCCAAAUGUUACUUACUCAGAGAGUUCUUCCCUGACCACCCAGCCCACACUUCUGUGACUGUACAAGUUUCCUGGGGCUGCUGAAACAAAUGACUGCAAAGUUGGUGACUUAAACCACCACAACAUAAGUUGGCUGGUUGUGGUGGCUCACGCCUGUAAUCCCAGCACUUUGGGAGGCCCAGGCGGGCGGAUCAUGAGGUCAGGAGAUUGAGACCAUCCUGGCCAACGUGAUGAAACCUCAUCUCAACUAAAAUACAAAAAAAUUAGCCGGGUAUGGUGGUGUGUGCCUAUAGUCCCAGCUGCUCAGGAGGCUGAGGCAGGAGAAUUGCUUGAACCCAGGAGGCAGAGAUUGAAGUGAGCCAAGAUCACACCACUGCAUUCCAGCCUGGACAACAGAACGAGACUCCAUCACAAAAACAAAACAAAACAAAACAAAACAAAAACAUAAGUUUUUUCACUUACAGUUCUGGAGGCCAAAAAUCCAAACUCAAGGUGUCGGCAGGGCCAUGUGUCUCUGAAGGCACUAGGAGAAAACCUGCCCCAUGCUCCUCUCCUAGUUUCUGGAGAGGAGCCACUCAUGACAUUUCUUGACUUGCGGCUGCAUGACUUCCAGUGGCACCGUCCUCUCUGUGUCUGUGUUAAAUAUCCUUCAUAAGAACACCAUUCAUCGGAUUAGGGCACACCUUAACACCAUAUGGCCUCAUCUUAACUUCAUUACAUCUGCAAAGACCUUAUUUCCAAGUAAAUCCACAUUCAUAUGCAUUGGGCAUUAGAACUUUGACACAUCCUUUUUGGGGGAGGUGGGGAACAACUCAACCCACACACAGCCACAGACAUUUCCUACAAUACCCUAUUCUAUCGUCUCCAUACUGCUUCUCAGUAUGUGACAUUAUCCUAUUUAUUUAUAAGUGUAUGUGCUCAUUGCCUGCCCAACCCUUCCCCAACUAGAAUAAAAGCUUCUUAUAGCCGUGCACCUCUCUGUCUUGUUCACAGAUGAAUCUCCAGCACGUAGAAGGGGGGCCUGGAACAAAGCACUGUUUUACAAAGAUUUACUAACUGCC
rnacentral:lncRNA from 10 species